AUCCAAACUGCUCAGGGAGCUGACAUCCAGGUGGAAACAUGGUCUGGUAACACCACGCUUCCGGAUGUGAUUGUGGAGCUGGAUUGCUUAACCUGGGCUAAGUCAUUUAUCUUCCUGUGUCCCUCAGUUCUUCAUGGGCUGCAGAAGUGUUAAGAGUGCCUGCUUGUCUUCGAGAGGACCAGAGAUCAAUUCCCAGCAUCCAUCCCUGGAAGCUACAGGGAAUUCAACACUCUUCCUGACUUCCUCAAACACCUGCACACAUAUGGCUUAUAGACACACAGGGAAAGAAGUAAAG
rnacentral:lncRNA from 1 species